rnacentral:rRNA from 1 species
GUAAGGUGAGAGGAAGGUGGGAUGACGUCAAAUCAGCAGGCCCUUAUGUCCAGGGCUACACACGUGUUACAAUGGCCGGCACAGAGGGCAGCUACCUGGUGACAGGAUGCUAAUCUCGAAAACCGGUCUCAGUUCGGAUCGAAGUCUGCAACUCGACUUCGUGAAGCUGGAUUCGCUAGUAAUCGCGCAUCAGCCAUGGCGCGGUGAAUACGUUCCCGGGCCUU